AAAUCUCCCGGGGCUCACUGGGAGGGUGCGCCGGAUACUGAGGGGCUAGAGUGUGGGAGAGGAAAGUGGAAUUCCUGGUGUAGCGGUGAAAUGCGUAGAUAUCAGGAGGAACACCGGUGGGUGUAAACGGCUUUCUGGACCAUAACUGACGCUGAGGCACGAAAGCGUGGGUAGCAAACAGGAUUAGAUACCCUGGUAGUCCACGCCCUUAAACGAUGCAUAUUUGGUGUGGGCCAUUCAUUUGGUCCGUGCCGGAGCUAACGCGUUAAAUAUGCCGCCUGGGGAGUACAGUCGCAAGGCUGAAACUCAAAGGAAUUGACGGGGGCCCGCACAAGCGGUGGAGCAUGUGGUUUAAUUCGACGCAACGCGAAGAACCUUACCUGGGCUCGAAAUGCUAUGGAUCAGUCUGUGAAAGCGGGCUUUCCCGCAAGGGACCGUAGUAUAGGUGCUGCAUGGCUGUCGUCAGCUCGUGUCGUGAGAUGUUGGGUUAAGUCCCGCAACGAGCGCAACCCUUGUCCUGUGUUGCCCUCAUUCAGUUGGGAACUCGCAGGAGACCGCCAGGGAUAACCUGGAGGAAGGUGGGGAUGACGUCAAGUCCUCAUGGCCUUUAUGUCCAGGGCUACACACGUGCUACAAUGGACGGUACAAAGCGCUGCCAACCCGCGAGGGGGAGCCAAUCGCAAAAAACCGUUCUCAGUUCGGAUUGCAGGCUGCAACUCGCCUGCAUGAAGCUGGAAUCGCUAGUAAUGGCGGAUCAGAACGCCGCCGUGAAUAUGUUCCCGGGCCUUGUACACACCGCCCGUCACAUCACGAAAGUGGGUUGUACUAGAAGUCCUCGCGCCAACCCGAAAGGGAGGCAGCGGCCCAAGGUAUGACUCAUGAUUGGGGUGAAGUCGUAAC
rnacentral:rRNA from 1 species